GGAGAGAUGGCUCAGUGGUUAAGAGCACUGGGUGAUCUUCCAGAGGGCCUGGGCUCAAUUCCCAGCACCC
rfam:Mus musculus chromosome 11, GRC primary reference assembly.